rnacentral:rRNA from 1 species
AUUGAACGCUGGCGGCAUGCCUUACACAUGCAAGUCGAACGGCAGCACGGGAGCAAUCCUGGUGGCGAGUGGCGAACGGGUGAGUAAUAUAUCGGAACGUGCCCAGUCGUGGGGGAUAACGCAGCGAAAGCUGUGCUAAUACCGCAUACGAUCUAUGGAUGAAAGCGGGGGAUCGCAAGACCUCGCGCGAUUGGAGCGGCCGAUAUCAGAUUAGCUAGUUGGUGGGGUAAAGGCCCACCAAGGCGACGAUCUGUAGCUGGUCUGAGAGGACGACCAGCCACACUGGAACUGAGACACGGUCCAGACUCCUACGGGAGGCAGCAGUGGGGAAUUUUGGACAAUGGGCGCAAGCCUGAUCCAGCAAUGCCGCGUGCAGGAUGAAGGCCUUCGGGUUGUAAACUGCUUUUGUACGGAACGAAACGGCUCUUUCUAACAAAGAGGGCUAAUGACGGUACCGUAAGAAUAAGCACCGGCUAACUACGUGCCAGCCGCCGCCGUAAGAC